rnacentral:tRNA from 1 species
GCACCAGUAGCUCAACGGAUAGAGCAAUGGCCUCCGGAGCCAUGUGAGGAAGUUCGACUCUUCUCUGGUGCA